UACAUAGGGUGCUAGCGUUGCUCGGAAUGACUGGGCGUAAAGCACAUGUAGGAGGACUUGUAAGUUAAAAGUGUAAUCCCAGAGCUUAACUUUGGAACUGCUUUUAAUACUGCUUGUCUGGAGGGAGUUAAAGGGUAGCAGAAUUCUUAGUGGAGGGGUUAAAUCCGUAGAUAUUAAGAGGAAUACCGAAAGCGAAAGCAGCUACUUGGGACUUUCCUGACUCUGAGAUGUGAAAGCGUGUGGAGCGAAC
rnacentral:rRNA from 1 species